rnacentral:rRNA from 1 species
GACGAACGCUGGCGGCGUGCCUAAUACAUGCAAGUAGAACGCUGAAGGAAGGAGCUUGCUCUUUCUGGAUGAGUUGCGAACGGGUGAGUAACGCGUAGGUAACCUGCCUGGUAGCGGGGGAUAACUAUUGGAAACGAUAGCUAAUACCGCAUAAAAUUGAUUAUUGCAUGAUAGUCAAUUAAAAGGUGCAACUGCACCACUACCAGAUGGACCUGCGUUGUAUUAGCUAGUUGGUGGGGUAACGGCUCACCAAGGCGACGAUACAUAGCCGACCUGAGAGGGUGAUCGGCCACACUGGGACUGGGACACGGCCCAGACUCCUACGGGAGGCAGCAGUAGGGAAUCUUCGGCAAUGGACGGAAGUCUGACCGAGCAACGCCGCGUGAGUGAAGAAGGGUUUCGGAUCGUAAAGCUCGGUUGUAAGAGAAGAACGAGUGUGAGAGUGGAAAGUUCACGCUGUGACGGUAUCUUAACAGAAAGGGACGGCUAACUACGUG